rnacentral:rRNA from 1 species
AUUGAACGCUGGCGGCAGGCCUAACACAUGCAAGUCGAGCGGAUGAAGGGAGCUUGCUCCUGGAUUCAGCGGCGGACGGGUGAGUAAUGCCUAGGAAUCUGUCUGGUAGUGGGGGAUAACGUCCGGAAACGGGCGCUAAUACCGCAUACGUCCUGAGGGAGAAAGUGGGGGAUCUCCGGACCUCACGCUAUCAGAUGAGCCUAGGUCGGAUUAGCUAGUUGGUGGGGUAAAGGCCUACCAAGGCGACGAUCCGUAACUGGUCUGAGAGGAUGAUCAGUCACACUGGAACUGAGACACGGUCCAGACUCCUACGGGAGGCAGCAGUGGGGAAUAUUGGACAAUGGGCGAAAGCCUGAUCCAGCCAUGCCGCGUGUGUGAAGAAGGUCUUCGGAUUGUAAAGCACUUUAAGUUGGGAGGAAGGGCAGUAAGUUAAUACCUUGCUGUUUUGACGUUACCAACAGAAUAAGCACCGGCUAACUUCGUG